GGUUAAGCGACUAAGCGUACACGGUGCAUGCCCUGGCAGUCAUAGGCGAUGAAGUGCGUGCUAAUCUGCGAUAAGCUCCGCUAAGUGGAUAUCAAACGAUAAAACCCGCGAUACCCGAAUGGGGA
rnacentral:rRNA from 1 species